rnacentral:rRNA from 1 species
UACGUAGGGCGCAAGCGUUAUCCGGAAUUAUUGGGCGUAAAGAGCUCGUAGGCGGUUUGUCGCGUCUGCCGUGAAAGUCCGGGGCUCAACUCCGGAUCUGCGGUGGGUACGGGCAGACUAGAGUGAUGUAGGGGAGACUGGAAUUCCUGGUGUAGCGGUGAAAUGCGCAGAUAUCAGGAGGAACACCAGUGGCGAAGGCGAGUCUCUGGACAUUUCCUGACGCUGAGGCACGAAAGCCAGGGGAGCAAACGGG